rfam:Aspergillus wentii DTO 134E9 unplaced genomic scaffold ASPWEscaffold_4, whole genome shotgun sequence.
GGCUCAAUGGUUUAGUGGUAUAAUUCUCGCUUCGGGCUUCCCGUUACUGCAAAACAGUAACACAUUCACUUGAAUUGCGAGAGGCCCCGGGUUCGAAUCCCGGUUGAGCCC